AAAGGGAGAAGGUUUCUCAAAACAGAGCCUAGACCUGCUGCUACUGGGGAACUUCUGUUUAUUGAGUCUGGCCUGAAACAGCUACUGAUGACCUACAAAGAGAAAGGGGAAAAAAGGUGGUAUUGCUACAGAUCACUGUGUCUCAGUUUUCAAGUAAGUUUUCUUCUGAGAGUAUGGAAUAAAUCAGAACUUCAAGCAUUUGCUUCUUGUAAUGUAAUGGAGCUUUUAAGUUCUCGUCUAAAUGACAUGAACUGCUAGGGAACUUCUCUCAGGGAAUACGAGAGCAUCACUGCAAUGACAACAUUGCUCCCAGCAGUCUGAAGGAUAAAGGCAGAUGAGGUCAGCAAGGAGAACAGGCUGAGAAGACAUGAGCCAACAACAGCAGGACAAUCUUUUUUCAGGAAGCAAAUAGUUCUUCCCUGCUAAUGAGAUUUCACACGUUAAAGCAUACUGAUGGCAUCAUUUCAUCUCAUGCUUUGAAAGUGACAAGUGACACUAUCUUUAUUGUAUUAGGCUGUUCUAGCUGUGAUGAAUAUAUAAUCUGUGUUGCAAAUUUCUUUGUCUCUGCCUUACACAGCAGUGGGUGAACUAAGGAAACACUGGGAAGCUAAUAUAAGGCUUCAGAUGCUACUGCCAUGACUUUGAGCAGUAUCAGUAAUAUCAUUAUUGGUCCCCAUGCAGUAGCACUGAUAAUGGGUUUUUUCCUGGUGUGCCAGGGAACAUAGAGGCAUACAGCUGACUCACUGGCUGACGUUGUCAUUUUGGCACAUAAACAGUUUGUAAAAUGCUGCCAGUUCUGUCCUACUCGGUUAGAUCUGUUUGCCCAGAGCUUUUAAAUUCCUUUCCAGAGCUGGCAGGCUUUGUGGAUCUGUAACCUAUGCAUUCCACAGCACUUGACUUGUUAAAACCGUGAGACGGGAAAGUAUUUGAUGUGUUGCCAAAGUGAAAAGUACUCCAAAAACCUUGUGUGAAAGGUUUAUUCAUUUUAUUUUUAUGCUGGUCUUAUGACAGGCAGCCCCUGAAUUUUGCUCAAUUUUUUGAAAGUGUGUUGUGAAAGACCUUACCACCACCACUACCACAUAUGCUGUAUUUUACCAUUCAUAGAGAUUUGCUCUUGCAAACUUAGUAAGAAAUGGUUUGAUGAGUGAGAAAACAAAUCUAAAUCUGUUCUUGAU